rnacentral:lncRNA from 1 species
AAAUGUAAACAAAACACCAAACACAACCAUUAAUGAUAAAUCACUGCUUCGUGAUUUCAAAUUUAUGUGACUUCUCGGAAGGGAAAUGAUCAAUUCAUGUCUACGGGAAAAACCAUUCUCGGUGCCAUAUAUAAAAUGAAAAGAAAAGAGAAUUCACAGUUGUGAUCAUCACUCUGACCCUGAAAAAAUCCCACAGGAUAAAGAAAACAAACCAGUGACCCAAAUUUUGAUCACCAGUUGGACAAAAGAAAAAAACCCGGAAACUAUCCUUCAAGAUUCCUU